GCUUGGUGGAUCAGUGGCGAACGGGUGAGUAACACGUGAGCAACCUGCCCUGGACUCUGGGAUAAGCGCUGGAAACGGCGUCUAAUACUGGAUAUGAGCCUCUUCCGCAUGGUGGGGGUUGGAAAGAUUUUUUGGUCUGGGAUGGGCUCGCGGCCUAUCAGCUUGUUGGUGAGGUAAUGGCUCACCAAGGCGUCGACGGGUAGCCGGCCUGAGAGGGUGACCGGCCACACUGGGACUGAGACACGGCCCAGACUCCUACGGGAGGCAGCAGUGGGGAAUAUUGCACAAUGGGCGGAAGCCUGAUGCAGCAACGCCGCGUGAGGGAUGACGGCCUUCGGGUUGUAAACCUCUUUUAGCAGGGAAGAAGCGAAAGUGACGGUACCUGCAGAAAAAGCGCCGGCUAACUACGUGCCAGCAGCCGCGGUAAUACGUAGGGCGCAAGCGUUAUCCGGAAUUAUUGGGCGUAAAGAGCUCGUAGGCGGUUUGUCGCGUCUGCUGUGAAAUCCCGAGGCUCAACCUCGGGCCUGCAGUGGGUACGGGCAGACUAGAGUGCGGUAGGGGAGAUUGGAAUUCCUGGUGUAGCGGUGGAAUGCGCAGAUAUCAGGAGGAACACCGAUGGCGAAGGCAGAUCUCUGGGCCGUAACUGACGCUGAGGAGCGAAAGGGUGGGGAGCAAACAGGCUUAGAUACCCUGGUAGUCCACCCCGUAAACGUUGGGAACUAGUUGUGGGGACCAUUCCACGGUUUCCGUGACGCAGCUAACGCAUUAAGUUCCCCGCCUGGGGAGUACGGCCGCAAGGCUAAAACUCAAAGGAAUUGACGG
rnacentral:rRNA from 1 species